rnacentral:rRNA from 1 species
UACGUAGGGUGCGAGCGUUAAUCGGAAUUACUGGGCGUAAAGCGUGCGCAGGCGGUUUUGUAAGCCAGAUGUGAAAUCCCCGGGCUUAACCUGGGAAUGGCAUUUGGGACUGCAAGGCUGGAGUUUGGCAGAGGAGACUGGAAUUCUCGGUGUAGCGGUGAAAUGCGUAGAUAUCGAGAGGAACACCUGCGGCGAAGGCGGGUUGCUGGGCCGACACUGACGCUGAUGCGCGAAAGCCAGGGGAGCGAACGGG